UACGUAAGGUCCGAGCGUUGUCCGGAAUUAUUGGGCGUAAAGGGCUCGUAGGCGGUCCGUCACGUCGGGAGUGAAAACUCAGGGCUUAACCCUGAGCCUGCUUCCGAUACGGGCUGACUAGAGGUAUGCAGGGGAGAACGGAAUUCCUGGUGUAGCGGUGAAAUGCGCAGAUAUCAGGAGGAACACCGGUGGCGAAGGCGGUUCUCUGGGCAUUACCUGACGCUGAGGAGCGAAAGUGUGGGGAGCGAACAGG
rnacentral:rRNA from 1 species